CUCUCCUCAGAACAAUUGACCCCUAAUUCUGCAAGCCCCGCCCCCCAGCCCUCUAUAGCGCCGCUCCCAGUAGUUCCCACUCUAGUGAACCCAUCCCUGGAAACCUGGGUAGGUGCAAGGGUUUCCAUCUCCAGUGUUCUCUGGUCUUUACGCCGUUGACCUUCCCCUCGAAAGUUUCUGAAGUACAUUAUAUUUUGGGGCUGUUGAGAGGAAUGCUAAUUGGAUUGGGGGGAAGCCGUUGACUCUAAUCUCCCAGUUGCUACCCUUUCCUUUGAAGACUUUAUUUGCAGGAUGAAGAAGGUUUUCGACCCCCACAUGUGGGUACUUGCGGCUAUAGGCUUGCUUAACGUCUACCAUGGUUCCAGAACUGUGGCUAAUUACUCGGUGGAAUUUACAACACUGGCAGCGAAUUCCAGUUGCAAUGAAGAGGCAUUGCAGAGAAAGUUUUUCAACAGCCCCAGUCUGUUGACCAGCUACCACUUUUCAUCACCACCCUAAGCUAAAUGGGGAGUGCAACCACCUUCCAUGGCUCCAUCUCCUGCUCCUCCCAGUAAGGAGCCCAUGCAGUUGGGCGAAGCUCAUUUUUCUCCCACUGAACAGCUGCACAGGAUAAAGCCCUGCGAUUGACUAGUGACCAGUCCAAGGUGGCGCCCGAUGUUAGCCGGGACUCCAGCCUCCCUUGACUCUUGACUGACAGUCCAGGGAUCAAGUUAUUCUGAUGCGUCCUGAAAUCACAGUGACUGUGAACCAAAUCUCAGGACCAACCCUCAAAGAGUUUGUGAGACAUAAAUAGUUAUAAAGUGGAAGGGAAUUUUGAUGACUACCACAUCGCUACGUAUGUAGUGAACCUAAAAAAAUAGAAUUGCUUCCAUUAAAUGUUUCUCCAAACAACCUAGAGGAACCUUUAUGGACCCUAUUGAAGGGGCACCCCACCAAUUCUGCAUGUGAAAUGAUCAAAAUAAUGAUUAUAUAACGUCUUGUCUUUGAGCUGUAUAAAACUAUAGAAACAAAAUGUUGUAAUUUUAAGUAGAAAACCUCCCUUAACCAAUUAACUGCCAGAACAAGGCACUUUCAAUAUUGGUGCAUAAUGUGUACUCCAUAGAAUUAGUAUCACAAACAGUAUCGGUGUGGGAUACAGUAAAGGUUUAGGUUAGGCCCACACACACACACAUCCAGGCUCAUCGUGUGGAAUGACAAAAAAAGACUGAGAAGACAGAAAAAGGCUGUGAGACGAGCCGACAGAGAGAACGAUCAAAAGGAGACCGGCGAGCCAGUGUUAUUUAUGAAGACACUGCAGUGGUCAUAUUUCAUUCCGCCUCGUACAUACUGCCAGGUUCUCUGUAUCAACAUGGCCGAGCGUCCAUUAUGCUGCUCAGACCCUCAUUCCUGCAGACAACAGAUAUCCUGCUGGACCACAUCAGCCAACCAUCCUGCUAUCACAACGUUUGGAAGUCUUUUCACACAACCUCACUAGUCUUAUUAAAGACAUUUUACUUUCCAUUUGCUAUCUGGCGAGCCAAACAGACGAUAUGGCUGUUGCUAGGCAACAAGCAUCAUCUUGCCUCUCUGCUGCCCUUCUCUCUACGAUCCUCUUUGAAAAAUGUCCUCAUUAAAUGUGAUUGUAACUGGCAGCCUACAGGUUGCUGUUAACAGGUAAAGCAUCAUGAAAGUGCUAAUUGAGCCCGGCUGUGUCACUAUGGGAACAAUGGCUAAUACAGGCGCACAUACACACACUAGCGGCUGUGCUACCUAUCCUAAGGUGUGCAGCAGAGUUGGCUGGGACUUAUCGGACUGAGGGGCUCAUUAGCUGCUCCUGGCCACACUUCUAAACACAUCAGACUGUGGAAAUGACAUGUGCUUUGUUCGAUGACACAUCUAUCUAGCUUUUGUUGAGUCUUUGGAGUGAGUUCACCUUGACAGGCCAAUCAUUGUAUUAAAGUGACACAAAAAUACACUCUGGUUAAACUGCUUACAGCCUAAAGGCUCAGAGCCUACGACGAUGGUUCCCAACUGGAUGUAGUCAUGUACAAUCAAGUGAUGCCCUCAAAACGCUUUGGGUCAAUCUGCUCUUAAUGCACCAAAUACUGCAACACAGGUAGUCUCAGAGUGACUGCAAUGCACCGGACUUGCUACCAACUACGUACCAACUACUACACACAUAAGUGGUAGAUGGGUGGAACCCGGUACUUUCACCCAGGAGACCACUGUGUGUGUCCUGUACAAAACUACAAGUACAUGUUGACUUGUGUGUCACUGACUGACACUAGUCAUUGAUGAAUAAUUGAGAUGUACUGUAAUUAUUGCACAUAAAGUGACCGUAGCAAAUACUUUUACAUGACAAGGGAGUUUACAAAGAAGGACAUUUAUUUUUGAGACCUUAAAAUAAAUAAAGUAGUCCAUGAAUAUGAGUUAUAGUGGAGGUUGGUUUUCAGCCAGUUACAUCUACUCAUUGUCUUUUCGAUUCUUCCGUUUAUUUAGACAAAACCCAGAACAAUUAACAUCAUCCACACUCGUAAAGCCAAUUUAACAACUGUCCUUUAAACCCUGACUUCCAUUGAAGAUGGACGUGUGUUUCGGGCAUAAAAUGGCUUGAACUAAAGGAGCGUUGAUCGGGUAUUAAAUGUGUAACGUGUGAACAGGGUAGCGGUGAAGAACGACACAUGGCACAGUGGUGUUUCCCCGGUAAGAAAAGGAGCCAUUUCUACAGACACACAAGUUGUGAGAUCAGCUUACACUUGUACACAGGAACAUGAACAUACUUAUGAUUUAUAUAUUCUCUUUUCUCUGCCAGCUCAGGCUCCAGUUUUGCCUGAAGGCCACCCAACAAGAUUCAGAUUUGGAUUAUAUUAAUAUAUAGUAAUCACCAAAUGUUGUGCCAAGGCAGAACAUACAAAUGUCCUCUUUACUCGCAGCGGCUUCUCGUCCAAUAAGAAGAGUUGAAAUGGAGCCAUUUCAAAGCAGGUGGAGGAUUGAUAUUGUUUUCAUGUGACUGCUUCCUGUUCCACCUGCAAGCGUAAAGCUGCUGUUCUCCAUGAAGACCACCUCCAAGGGCUUUAGUACAACGGGCCACGAAGAGUCCCGCUGUAGCAGACGAGUGUUACAGCAGCACCCUGAGAACACCGAAAGGGUUUGAUUGGGCCCGUUGCUUCAUUACCUACAUGUCAUCCCUGCAAGAUCAGCAACAAACAUCCGUGUCAGCGGUGACGUUUUAGUGAAUUCUAGCAGAGAAUAAAGAACACAGUCAAUCACAAUUCAUCACAAGGUUUCUGUUUCUAUUGUAAAGUAGCAAGUACAACGUGUAGUACAGUAAUACUGUAAAACCUCAAUAAGGAGCUUAUGAAAUAAAUGCUAAUUGAUCAUGAAACAUUCUGGGGAGGGGCUACUGUGGUAGCUAAAUGGUCAUGCAGUCAAGUCAUGAAAAGGUUGAUAUUUUAAUCAUAUUGUAUUAAUAUGAUAGUAAGUGGUAUUCAAUUACUGAUCAGAUCAAACCGAUCAAUUCUAUUCUGCUUUUGUUGAAAGUGCUGAUUUGUAUGUUCAUUGUUAUGGUAAGGUUGUUCUGUAUGUGUGUUAAUCUAUUGAUCAGUCAGCAUAUUCAGAAUGUGCAGAACCUACAACCAUAUUUGACCAACAGUGUGUGUAAGUUCAACAUUUCUUCCUGCUGCUGAAAAUCCCCAAAGUGUCCUCUGCAUUUAUAGUUACGAGAAGGAAAAACAACUGGUCCAUGUGUCGUAUACAGCAACAUGUUUCUGACUAAACACAAUUCACCCGUUCUCUCACACAGGGCUCUUCCCUCCUCCUGGUUGUACCUGUGUUCUGCUUCUGCCAUGUUGGAAACCCAUCUGCUUUGUCCUCUUCUGCUCAUCGGUCCUUUGUUUUAAUCAAUCGAUGUGGUAUUUCCUUCUGUCCACAAGGGAUGUGUGUGUGUGUGUGUGUGUGUGUGUGCGUGUGUGGCAGGGUGUUGGCCUGUGUGUCCGUUCUACUGGAAGGCCAGCAGAAACAUUAGCACCACGUUGAUGAUGAUGAGCAGCAUCAUGAUGAGGAAAACCACCACCUUCUGCGUCUCAGGGGGGAGGUUGCAGCGCAGCAUCGUGCUGAAGAAUCCCAACCUCUGCCGGCUCCACCUUCCUGAGCCGCUGCCACGAGCCAUCAGUCCCCUGGCUUCCUCCUCUUCCUCCUCCUCGGCACCGCUGCCCCUCCCCCGCCUUCUCUUCCUCAGCGCCGAGCCUCCGCACCACACCGCGCCACCUUGCCCUCCUCCUCCGUCCUCGGGUGGCGCUCCCCUCCUCCGCUCUGCUCCGGCGGUCGCCUCCUCUGCUUCUCCUGCCACCGUGCCGACGCUCGGCGUCGCCCGGCCUGCCGGUGGAGGCUGGGUGACUGUGUGUUAGCCUACGUGAGAGCGCCCCCCCCUCGUCCCCCUUUAAGGAAAGGCACCUCCCCGGGCUUUCUACCUUCUAGCAGUCUUGUCUCUGGCUCGGUUCCUGGUCUCUCGCUCGGUCGGCUGUCAGGGUGAAAGACGGAGAACGGGAUGCUGCAUCUCUCUGGUUGGUGCUCAUGCCUCCGCGUCGUUUCUCUCCUCUCCCUUUCAUCCGCCUCUGCCUCGGGUUUUACCUCAGUCUCUAUUCAACAUUUACUCGGAUGUGUCUACCUCUCCAUCCAACUGUGUGUUCUUCCUCUGCUUUCUUCUGUCCUCUUCCUCAGUCGGUGACGGCCGCGCUGUGUCUCCGUUCCUGCUAGCGUGGAGCUCGGUGCUGUGCACGAAGCUGUGCGGCCUCAGACAUCCAUCUAAAGACCAGGAUCACCCUCUUUUCUUUUCCCCCUCCCUUCCUCUUCCAUGUGACCACCCUUGCAUAGCUGGUAGCCAAUCAGGACGCAGAGUGUGUCAACGUAUCCUGGAUACCAGAAUAGUUGAGGCAGGGCCCCGGCAACCCCGGUGUGGGAGGGGGUGCGGUGUUGGGAUGCCAGGGACAGAUGGAGGAGAAGAGCGGAGGCCACGCAGAAUAAUGGAUGGAUCUCAAGGGAAAUAGUUUCUGUAUGUGUGUUUGUAUGCAAACAGGGAUGUUUUCUGCAUCCACAUAUACUAUAACUUCUAACUGGUUUCAGAUCUAAUAGUAGACACCAAAGACCAAUGAAUAACAGCUAUAGAUAAGAGAAAAACCAGUUUACUGCACCAAAGUGCGUACAAACAAUGGGCCUCAUUCACCAAAUGUUCUUAAGAACAAAUUUGUGCUUGACCCCCACUUACAUUUGUUGGUGAGAACAGAAUGAACACACACCCAAGAGCAUUCGACACACAUAUGAGAGCUGACAUGUUUGCCCAAAACCGUUUUCGUCCAUUCUAAUUUAAAAUGGAAUUUUUCUCUCCUUUAUAAUUUUGCAACUAAUUACUUUUAUUAUUUUACGCCAGCGUUUUGCACUUACUUCUUGCAGCAAUAUCUCCACUUCAGAAUUACUGAAGUUUGGGACGGUUCUCUGAGUGUCCCCGGUCCUACCUUCUCAUGCCCUCUUAUGGGAAUUAAAGCGCGUUGACCUUUGCUGAAUAGGAGCAACAAGGCACGAGCUUUCAAUUCACCACAUGUUGGGAUUCAUCAUUCUAAGACGCACCUGCAAACAAUUCCUCUGUUUAGGAACACGUCACGAAUCACACGGGGAACAAAUGUAAGAAAUAACUUCGAUAGACGAUACUGGUGAAUGAGGCCCAAUGUGCUGCAGCUUAGUUCCCGCCCUCACACGUUUGUGGUCCGGGCUCAGGAGGGGCAGCUACAAGCUGUAUCGGGGUCUGGGGAGUGGAGAGAGGUCCCGAUGGAUUCGGUGGAGGAAUUGGAGAAACUAUUGUGACUUCCCGAUGAGAGGGUGCAGUCAUGUGACCAGACAUCAGCGAUGUGAACACCAAUAAACGCUGUGAGACGAGGGAGUAAACUCGUCUUGUCAUUGACCUUGAGAGACAGACUGUGGUCUUGACAGGGAGCUAGCCGCUCCAGCUCGCCUGUGUCUCAUGGGGUCCACAUAUGAUGUGAAUAAUAUGAUGACUGCAGUCAUUGGGCAGAGGGGUCAAAGGGAAUGUCAGGUGGGGUUUCGUUCAUGGCUUUGAUUCUAUACACGCAUCAAUGUGAGAGAAACUACUCUGAAAUAUUAUAUACUAAUAUUUGUCCCGACGGAUCACUUCAGCAAAGUUGAACCGUAUGAAAAAGCUUUGGUCUAACAAGUAAAACAGUGGCCACACCACUGGCCGUGUUUUCCUGAAGGGCAACCGAAGGGUGGGCAUAGGUUUGCACAUGGUUCUGCCUACCAAUAUUGUAGGACAGACUUGUCCUUACUAAUAUUUGAACAAACCUGUGCAUCAUUGUGACCAAACGCACACUCACACGUAGUGAGAGAGGAGCUGUUAAACUUUUAUCUGAAUCAACUUCUGGGCUUGUCACCCUGGUCAAAUGAGACCACCUCUGGAUUGUGCCUACCUCAUUGAUCGCCAGCUGCUCUCCUCCACCUCCUCCUGGGUGACCAAAACGAUGGCCGCAACUACGGAAGUCUUCAUACAGCAGAUCAUCUUCGCUGCCGAGCUCCUCCCCAAGUCCUGCCUUGUCUGAAGCCCCGUCAGGUACGACCGAUGCUGAGACAGGGAGGGACGGGGAGGACAGAACACCAAGACAGCGUGGUUAGCUGUUCAUCAUAAGCAGGUAGGGUCAAUGCUGUAGACACGCAUACAAUACAUCAGUAUUUAUUUAUAUUUACAUUCAAAUGAGUCAAUACUAACUGUAUGGUGGAAAACAAAAAUGGCGUCACUUUGAACUCUUUAGAAUUUUAAUGCUUAAAAAAAGAAACAAUCAUUAAUACAAAAUGUGACAAACACCAGUAUUCAAAUGGCUGAUAUUUGUAUCUGAGGCCCAGCAGCCGAUUAAGCUGCCAGCGGCAGCUGACACCUCGAUUUGAAUGUAUUUGGCCAUUUGUGAAACAGUAUGUGACCAAUGGUUAUAAUGUAAACCCCAACCUUCUUUUCCUCACGGACCACUUUCAUGUUAGACAACAUUUCCUGGACCGACUGACUGAGUAAGGUUGGCUGGUGCCAUGAAGGACAACAGAUAACAAAGGCCCUUUCCUAAUGCUUAAGAGGGCGAGAAUGGACUCGCCUUCUCAGGGGAAUGGACUCGGAGUCAGGAUUCUCAGACCUUCAGAACCACGCGCAGACACCGCUCCUCCAUAUUCGGCACUGACGUUCCUUUGUUUGGUGAGUGCAGUAUUUAGCAGCACGUGUUCUUUCUUGGGCCUUGCUGUGCUGAACGGGGUCCCAUGCAGACCUUGUGUGAGUGACCUGAGCUACACCUUAGCUAAGUGUAGCAGGAUGACGGCUUUCUGCCCAUUCGCAGUAUUGCCCCCUUUAUUUGCCACCACAUAAGGAGGGAUCGGUGGAUCUGCCCUCUCUCUCUCUCUCCCGGGUCACCUGGCUGCAGGUUCUGCAGACCCUCGGCCCUCUGGUGUUCACCGCGCAGGAAAAGCCUGCUGGUUUGCACAUGUGACUGAAAAUGACCUUCUGAAAGUAAGCAAAGAAAGUGAUAACAACGCUUACAGCCCCUCAUCCCUGUGCUGCACACAGAGGACUCACCACUGAUCUUCUCUGAUGAGGACAAGUGCAGCGGGGGGGGGGUAUGAAGUGUUAUGCAAGGAAGCAUCCAGCUGAGCCCUGAGCCUUACUCCUCUGAGUCUAUGGAAGCCAGACUGCACAUCGUACGCACACGCAGAACACAACAAAUAUGGAACUAAAGCAUAUUAAACAUCUUCAUGAAUCAUGAACAGGCUGCACCAAUGAUGGAUUAAGGACUGACAUUUAGAAGUCUGCCGUCCUUCUACUUUCUGAAACAUUCCGGAGACGCGCAGCAUCAGAAAGACAGCAAAAACUACAGGGUACACUACAAAAACUUCCUGUUAAAUGUGCAAAUAUAACUUUUUACACUGUUCCUAGCUUCAAUUUUAAUAUUUGAAGUAAAUGUAUUUACUUCAAAUUUAAAUCUAAUAUGUUUAAAAGAUGUAUUCAAAAGUAAAGUGAUAGGUAUUCUUUUUGUAUAUGCAAUAAAGUUUCCAUAUUUUAAUGCAAUUAUUUCAAAAGGAUUGAACCUAUUGAACCUACAAAGUUUGAGAACCACUGUUCUCGAUGACAAGUAGUUCACAAUGAAAGAGCACUCAGGGAGUACUGUUCUGGUGUCACCCUGCCCCCCCCCCCACUGACUAAGCAGAGGUAGAACACAGGCAGGCCUCGGGCUGAAUGGCUGUUACACAGCGACCUAUUUCCCGGAGAGCCCUGUGCCUCCUAUUUUUGUGAUGGAUGCUUUCAGACAUCCACCCUCCUCCCCCACGCUUUCUUGCUUCAGAGAAGAGGAUAUUUGGCUGUGUGUGUGUGUGUGUGUGUGUGUGUGAGGCAAAGUGGCCAGUUGGCCAUCGCAGAGGAAAGAUUUAACACAACCAUCGGCAAGUCGCAGUCAUAUUCACGCACUUGACCACACGCAUGAAAUAUCAUGCGUGUGGUCACAUGUACAGCACUGAGUGCAAGGAAGGGACAUAGGUAAUGGUGGCCGGGGGUCAAGCUUGACAAAGACCAGUAGGAAAUGGGAGGCAGCGUUGCUGGGAGAGAGCAGCACAGUGGUGUAUCAUGGUAAAUGGAGGAGAAUUCCUCCUAAAAGGGGUUUAGGGAAUUCUCUGCAUUGGCUCUUUGUUAAAUUAAGAAUAGAAUUUAUGGUACUUUUCCUUACCUAUAAAGCACCACCUUGUCGGGCACCAUCUUAUCCUAAGCAGCUUAUAAUACCACAUUGUGCUACUAGAGAGCAGUACUUCGUAGUGGGUUAUUUGUUGUCCUUGAGUCUUGAAAGCAUGGGGGCCACAGCCUUCAGUUACCAAGCUCCUCUUUUGUGAAACCAGCUUCCACUUUCAGUCCGGGGGGCAGACUCGGUCAGCUCUUUCUAGAUAAAGCUUAAGACUUUACUCUGAUAUCGCUUCUGGUUAGGCCUGGCUCAGGUUAGUCUGGACCAGCCUUAAGCUGCUCUCUCUACUUCAAUAAGAAAUAACAUGCACACCACUAUUUCAGCUUAACAAGGGUAUGACGACAACAAAAACCGCAGACGGAUCGACAAGGAGACAAAGGACAGAAAUUGUUUAAAUACAGUGGGAAGUUGCAGGUGACUGUACACAGAAUGAAACAAUCAGGUACAUGGCAGACAAUCACAGGGGAAAACACACCAGGGCAGGAAGUGAAACUAACCCAAAGAUACACGAGGCAAGAAAAUAAAUCCAAAGUGUGACAGUUAUAUCUGAUGGUGGUUACAUCCUAUGGUGUUAACAUCUGAUAUUCUGGUCAAAUAAAGUAACCAAUAUGAGAUGUCAUCCAUGGGCUCUGGGAACCGUUGUAAAUGUCAUUGUUUCAGAAUAUAUUAUCCUGAAGUUUACAUUACAGAUCGUUGGUGUCUGCCAAAGACCUUUCCUCUAUCAUUUAUCCCACCCAUUCCAUACACACAUACACACCUUGUCUCAGGGAGCCUAUGGAACUGUUGGUCGGCUCUUAUUUUCUUCUUUCGCUCUCUGACUCAGUCCAUCCCCUCUUAACUCAAAACGCCAUCAACCCCUCGCCUCUAUCUUUGCCCAGAAACUGCUCUACACCUACUGUAACCUCACAGUGUCUAUUACCACUUCUUUAUCUUACUCUCUCCCUCUCUCAAACUAAAAUCCUUACCACAUCACCUGACCCCUCUCUCCCUUCUCUCUGGCCUCCUCUGUCUUAUCAGUCCUCCCUCCAUCACAACAGGUCCACAAGUCCUCUCCGGCUCUGUGGUUGUCAGUGAGUGCAGAGAGAGCCACUAAGUGGCUCAUCCAUACAUUGGUACUUGCGUACCGUGCGGCAAAAAGAUCAGAUCUAGUCAGCAUGCAGGUCAUGGUCGAACCGUUCAUCCCUGCACGCUUACUCCGCCCUGCAUCCUCCAAUCUACUUGUUGCUCCAUCACAGAGACUAAAGACUCAACAAAAACCCAGGCUGUUUGCUGUCCCGGCUCUCGAAUGAUAGAAUGAGCUCCCCAAUGACAUCAGGACUGCAGCCUAAACAAGUAAAAACACACCUACCGACUAUCUGUGGACUGGGUAGCACUUUAUUACCACUCACGGUUUCACUUACUUCAAGCACUUUGUGGUUUGGUAUAGUUGAAGAAAUAGUACUUUCUUCAUUAAGUUAAUAUGGGUUUGUACCGUCUUGGUCAAAGAGAAGUCAUCCGACAUUUUACUCUGUAGAGGCAGAGAGCCUUCAGCCGCAAACUAAAGAACCACCUCUUUAGACUCUACCUUGACAUAAAAACACUAACAAAUGAUAGCACUUUAUUUGUACUUAUAAUGGGUCUCAUCUGUAGCAGGUUGUAAAUGGGCUUAUUUGAUGAAAUUGCACUUUGUUUCAUGUUCUUCUGGGUUUGUUUCCUUAUGGUUGAAAUGCACUUAUUGUAAGUCGCUUUGGAUAAAAGCUUCAGCUAAAUGACAUGUGAUGUAAUGAUAAAUGUGUCUGCUAAAUGAAAUGUUAUGUAGUGAUGUAAUAAUUUGUUCAAACAA